UUCACUACUUCAAGCCAGAGGAGUUUUCUAUCGAAGACCCGUUCAAUACAGGGUCUUUCAGAUUAUAUUUUUGUCUUCUCCUUGAUGCUUUGCUGGUGAGGGAAACGAUGAAUUCGAAGAACAUAUAUGGCGAGUGGUGUGGCGACUCUCUUAGGUUCUGAGUAUGUGCCGAAGGUGGACCUCUGAAAGUGAAAACCCCUAUAAAAAGCUUUUAGUGAGAAGGCACCACU